UGUUUACAGUGUGUGUAGUAUAUGCAUAUGUGUGUGUGUGUAUACACACACACACACACACACACACACACACUGGGACA
rnacentral:pre_miRNA from 14 species